rnacentral:rRNA from 1 species
GCCUGUUUUUAUCAAAAACAUAACCUUUAGCCAAACAAAUAUUAAAGGCAACGCCUGCCCAGUGAACAAUUAAACGGCCGCGGUACCCUAACCGUGCAAAGGUAGCAUAAUCAUUUGUCUACUAAUUAUAGACCUGUAUGAAUGGCAAAAUGAGGGCUUAACUGUCUCUUAUAGUAAAUCAAUUAAACUGAUCUCCUAGUAAAAAAGCUAGGAUUACCCCAUAAGACCAGAAGACCCUGUGAAGCUUAAACUAAACUAUUAAAUCUAAUAAUAACUACUUUAGGUUGGGGCGACCUUGGAAAAAAGAAUAACUUCCAAAAUCCAAUGACAAAACAGGCCAACAAGCCAAUUAUAAAAGACCCAGCAACGCUGAAAUUGAACCAAGUUACUCCAGGGAUAACAGCGCAAUCUUCUUCAAGAGCCCAUAUCAAAAAGAAGGUUUACGACCUCGAUGUUGGAUCAGGACAUCCUAAUGGUGCAGAAGCUAUUAAGGGUUCGUUUGUUCAACGAUUAACAGUCCUACGUGAUCUG